GAUGAAGAACGUAGCGAAAUGCGAUACGUAAUGUGAAUUGCAAAUUCAGUGAAUCAUCGAGUCUUUGAACGCACAUUGCGCCCCCUGGUAUUCCGGGGGGCAUGCCUGUCCGAGCGUCAUUGCUGCACUCAAGCACGGCUUGUGUGUUGGGCCCCGUCCUCCGAUCCCGGGGGACGGGCCCGAAAGGCAGCGGCGGCACCGCGUCCGGUCCUCGAGCGUAUGGGGCUUUGUCACCCGCUCUGUAGGCCCGGCCGGCGCUUGCCGAUCAACCCAAAUUUUUAUCCAGGUUGACCUCGGAUCAGGUAGGGAUACCCGCUGAACUUAAGCAUAUCAAUAAGCGGAGGA
rnacentral:misc_RNA from 1 species